UGAAUAAAUAAAUAGAAUUUUUCAAUCAGUUGGACACAUUAAUAUAAUUUUACUCAAAUUCUCUAACAGAGCAAGAAGAGGGAGAAAGUCCAUGCUGCUACUAAUGUGACUCAGAUUAUACUACACUUCUAAGAACUGUAUGAAGUUUCUUAAGGUCAUAGCCUGUAAAUGUUUGUGGUUCACUUUUAAUUUAUUAGUCUUUUUUUUAUCAACUACCAAAUCUAAGGCUAGAGGGCAGUGUCUGUUUAAGAUGGAUAGACAGAGUGAGUUGACAGUUUAUAGUUGGGUAUGGUCAUAAAUAUUGUCAGGAUUUAGAAAAUGUAUAAGUUAUAGUCUAUAAAGGAGGCUGGGUAGUGGAAGACCCUAAAUCAAGAUGUUAAUUACCAGUUAAAGGGGCAAAACGCAAAUAAAACCUGAGAGGG